AGCGAACGCUGGCGGCAGGCUUAACACAUGCAAGUCGAGCGGGCGUAGCAAUACGUCAGCGGCAGACGGGUGAGUAACACGUGGGAACGUACCUUUUGGUUCGGAACAACUGAGGGAAACUUCAGCUAAUACCGGAUAAGCCCUUACGGGGAAAGAUUUAUCGCCGAAAGAUUGGCCCGCGUCUGAUUAGCUAGUUGGUAGGGUAAUGGCCUACCAAGGCGACGAUCAGUAGCUGGUCUGAGAGGAUGAUCAGCCACACUGGGACUGAGACACGGCCCAGACUCCUACGGGAGGCAGCAGUGGGGAAUAUUGGACAAUGGGCGCAAGCCUGAUCCAGCCAUGCCGCGUGAGUGAUGAAGGCCCUAGGGUUGUAAAGCUCUUUUAACGGGGAGGAUAAUGACGGUACCCGUAGAAUAAGCCCCGGCUAACUUCGUGCCAGCCGCCGCCGUAA
rnacentral:rRNA from 1 species